CAUCCUCGAUAUAGAUGGGAUAUGCGGGGGUGGAUUCACCCUCUGCCUUCCAGGGGCUUCUUUUAGAGAAGACGAGAGAACAGAUUGAUUAAGAAAACCCAGAAGAGUAAAUAAAGUGUUCCAGAAUUCAUUGUUUAUGCACCACACCCAGUGCUCCAUGCGAUAUGUGCCCUCCACAAAGGAACUGCCACAAAAUGCAAUCUUCUGAAGAAAUGGAACCAUAAAAAUAACCAAACAGGUCUGCGUGAGGAACUGGUGAUGGAAUAGGAGGAAAGAUGAAGAUCAUCGGAAUGGAAGAGUUGUUAAAGGAAGGUGCUGAUGUGUCCUCCACAUGAAUGUGGAAAACCUCUAGGGUGGUAAGAGGAAUUUCUGUGGAAAAGCAUUCGGCGGUGUUUCAUUCUUCAGUGAAGCGGACAAGCGCCCUGGGGACUGGUAGAAAAUGCCCAUGAGGAAACACUGAACACAGUGUAAUGUAAUGGGUGGCAAUUCCGAAAAGAUAGGAAUUGUCCUGUUUACGAACCUGUUUAUAGGCUGUCCUCAGGAGACAUUUUAUUUGCCUUUUGUUAAAAACGGGCCCAUUGGAGCAGGAACUUGGCUGGGGUUUGGAAGUGAACAUUGGAACCCUAAAAUCCCAACCUUGAAUGUAGAUCUCUCCCUCACACUGUCCUUUCUUUGCUUCCUCCCUAUCACCCUAACUUCCUGUUUCUUUUUGUUGUUCUCUUUUAUUACUUCCUUUCUUAUUCCAUGUGUAAAUCUGACAUCAUUCCUAGAUAUUCUGAAGCCACCCAGAUGCCCCUACUCCCUCAUCUCUGAACCUAGACUCUGAACAAAGAAGCAAAGACACAUCCAUAUGUCUGGGCACCAGGGCAUCCAAAUCUAUUUGUAUCAUUAAUUUGCUAAUGUGUCUUGUAAACCCAAAUUUAGCUAUAAACUUUCCAAGUUUGGGUCAUGGUCUCUGAUAACUCAAAUUGUCUCCCUCAGUUUCCCCAUGUAGAAAAAUAACUAUCAUUUACCCCAUCAUUCUUCUGGAACUGGGAACAGAUGUAAUAGUUUAAGGGACUCAGUUCAAAAGGAACUAUCUUUUUAAAGUCAAAGUAAAGCUGGUGUGACGGGAAGAUU